rnacentral:rRNA from 1 species
AAAUUGAAGAGUUUGAUCAUGGCUCAGAUUGAACGCUGGCGGCAGGCCUAACACAUGCAAGUCGAACGGUAACAGGAAGCAGCUUGCUGCUUCGCUGACGAGUGGCGGACGGGUGAGUAAUGUCUGGGAAACUGCCUGAUGGAGGGGGAUAACUACUGGAAACGGUGGCUAAUACCGCAUAACGUCGCAAGACCAAAGAGGGGGACCUUCGGGCCUCUUGCCAUCAGAUGUGCCCAGAUGGGAUUAGCUUGUUGGUGAGGUAACGGCUCACCAAGGCGACGAUCCCUAGCUGGUCUGAGAGGAUGACCAGCCACACUGGAACUGAGACACGGUCCAGACUCCUACGGGAGGCAGCAGUGGGGAAUAUUGCACAAUGGGCGCAAGCCUGAUGCAGCCAUGCCGCGUGUAUGAAGAAGGCCUUCGGGUUGUAAAGUACUUUCAGCAGGGAGGAAGGUGUUGUGGUUAAUAACCGCAGCAAUUGACGUUACCCGCAGAAGAAGCACCGGCUAACUCCGUGCCAGCAGCCGCGGUAAUACGGAGGGUGCAAGCGUUAAUCGGAAUUACUGGGCGUAAAGCGCACGCAGGCGGUCUGUCAAGUCGGAUGUGAAAUCCCCGGGCUCAACCUGGGAACUGCAUUCGAAACUGGCAGGCUUGAGUCUUGUAGAGGGGGGGAGAAUUCCAGGUGUAGCGGUGAAAUGCGUAGAGAUCUGGAGGAAUACCGGUGGCGAAGGCGGCCCCCUGGACAAAGACUGACGCUCAGGUGCGAAAGCGUGGGGAGCAAACAGGAUUAGAUACCCUGGUAGUCCACGCCGUAAACGAUGUCUACUUGGAGGUUGUGCCCUUGAGGCGUGGCUUCCGGAGCUAACGCGUUAAGUAGACCGCCUGGGGAGUACGGCCGCAAGGUUAAAACUCAAAUGAAUUGACGGGGGCCCGCACAAGCGGUGGAGCAUGUGGUUUAAUUCGAUGCAACGCGAAGAACCUUACCUGGUCUUGACAUCCACGGAAGUUUUCAGAGAUGAGAAUGUGCCUUCGGGAACCGUGAGACAGGUGCUGCAUGGCUGUCGUCAGCUCGUGUUGUGAAAUGUUGGGUUAAGUCCCGCAACGAGCGCAACCCUUAUCCUUUGUUGCCAGCGAUUAGGUCGGGAACUCAAAGGAGACUGCCAGUGAUAAACUGGAGGAAGGUAGGGAUGACGUCAAGUCAUCAUGGCCCUUACGACCAGGGCUACACACGUGCUACAAUGGCGCAUACAAAGAGAAGCGACCUCGCGAGAGCAAGCGGACCUCAUAAAGUGCGUCGUAGUCCGGAUUGGAGUCUGCAACUCGACUCCAUGAAGUCGGAAUCGCUAGUAAUCGUGGAUCAGAAUGCCACGGUGAAUACGUUCCCGGGCCUUGUACACACCGCCCGUCACACCAUGGGAGUGGGUUGCAAAAGAAGUAGGUAGCUUAACCUUCGGGAGGGCGCUUACCACUUUGUGAUUCAUGACUGGGGUGAAGUCGUAACAAGGUAACCGUAGGGGAACCUGCGGUUGGAUCACCUCCUUACCUUAAAGAAGC